CGGGAGGAAAACUGUUACCCAGCAAGUUGACAGCAGAUCCCGGAUGAGGAAACUGCAACUUCUUUUGCAGUUGCAUGAAGUCCCUGGAGGCAUCCAGGCAGGCAAGGGUGACACCCUUGAGGAUGCACUGGCCCAGGGCCUCAUGCCCAGCCUAUUACAGGCGGAAUGCCUCCCCGACAGAUGACUUAUGUGAGAUUUCAGGAAUGGUGUGUAUAAAAGUGCCUUAACUCUCUGAAAACUUGUCUGGGGGCCUGGACUAUUUGGAAUCUGCUUGAUGAAAACAGAGCAAUUCUGAUCUGCAUUACCAUUAGAGAGUAAACAUUUGAGGAAGCUUCAUGCCUAGAUACU